UACAGAGGUCUCAAGCGUUGUUCGGAUUCAUUGGGCGUAAAGGGUGCGUAGGCGGCGUGGUAAGUCGGGGGUGGAAUCUCGGAGCUUAACUCCGAAACUGCAUUCGAUACUGCCGUGCUUGAGGACUGGAGAGGAGACUGGAAUUUACGGUGUAGCGGUGAAAUGCGUAGAUAUCGUAAGGAAGACCAGUGGCGAAGGCGGGUCUCUGGACAGUUCCUGACGCUGAGGCACGAAGGCCAGGGGAGCAAACAGG
rnacentral:rRNA from 1 species